rnacentral:rRNA from 1 species
GAUGAACGCUGGCGGCGUGCCUAAUACAUGCAAGUCGAGCGAACAGACGAGGAGCUUGCUCCUCUGACGUUAGCGGCGGACGGGUGAGUAACACGUGGAUAACCUACCUAUAAGACUGGGAUAACUUCGGGAAACCGGAGCUAAUACCGGAUAAUAUAUUGAACCGCAUGGUUCAAUAGUGAAAGACGGUUUUGCUGUCACUUAUAGAUGGAUCCGCGCCGCAUUAGCUAGUUGGUAAGGUAACGGCUUACCAAGGCAACGAUGCGUAGCCGACCUGAGAGGGGGGAGGGCCAAAACGGGACGGGGAACAGGAGCAGACAACCAGGGGGGGAGACAAGAGGGAAAUCUACAGCAGGGGGAAAAGGCGGGAAGAAGAGACGCGGGGUGAGAGAGGAAGUUAUUAGUAUAGAAAAACUUGUUAAAGGGGGAAGAAAAAAUGUGUAAGUAAAAAGGCAGGUUAAAGAGAGACAAAAGAAAAAAACCACGGAAAAAUACGGG